rnacentral:rRNA from 1 species
UAAGGAAUAUUGGUCAAUGGGCGAGAGCCUGAACCAGCCAUGCCGCGUGAAGGAUGAAGGCCCUCUGGGUUGUAAACUUCUUUUGAACGGGACGAAAACGGGGCAUUCAUGCCCAACUGACGGUACCGUUAGAAUAAGCACCGGCUAACUCCGUGCCAGCAGCCGCGGUAAUACGGAGGGUGCAAGCGUUAUCCGGAAUCACUGGGUUUAAAGGGUACGUAGGCGGUCAUGUAAGUCAGAGGUGAAAGGCCACGGCUUAACUGUGGGAAUGCCUUUGAUACUGCGUGACUUGGAAGAAGUUGAGGCAGGCAGAAUGCGACAUGUAGCGGUGAAAUGCUUAGAUAUGUCGUAGAAUACCGAUUGCGAAGGCAGCCUGCUGGACUUGGUUCGACGCUGAGGU